rnacentral:rRNA from 1 species
GAUGAACGCUAGCUACAGGCUUAACACAUGCAAGUCGAGGGGUCCCGAAGGAGCUUGCUCCCAAGAGACGACCGGCGCACGGGUGAGUAACGCGUAUCCAACCUGCCCUUCAUAUUGGGAUAGCCUUCCGAAAGGAAGAUUAAUACCGAAUAACAUGAGAAGUUUGCAUGAAUCUCUCAUGAAAGCUCCGGCGAUGAAGGAUGGGGAUGCGUUCCAUUAGGUAGUAGGCGGGGUAACGGCCCACCUAGCCGACGAUGGAUAGGGGUUCUGAAAGGAAGGUCCCCCACACUGGAACUGAGACACGGUCCAGACUCCUCCGGGAGGCAGCAGUGAGGAAUAUUGGUCAAUGGGCGCAAGCCUGAACCAGCUAAGUAGCGUGAAGGGUGACUGCCCUAUGGGUUGUAAACUUCUUUUAUACGGGAACAAACCCCGGUACGUGUACCGGGCUGCGUGUACCGUAUGAAUAAGCAUCGGCUAACUCCGUGCCAGCCGCCGCCGUAAUAC